rnacentral:rRNA from 1 species
ACGGGGUGCAGCAGGCGCGAAACCUUUACACUGCACGAAAGUGCGAUAAGGGGACUCCAAGUGCGAGGGCAUAUAGUCCUCGCUUUUUGCGACCGUAAGGUGGUCGCGGAAUAAGUGCUGGGCAAGACCGGUGCCAGCCGCCGCGGUAAUACCGGCAGCACGAGUGAUGACCGCUAUUAUUGGGCCUAAAGCGUCCGUAGCUGGCCGUGCAAGUCCAUCGGGAAAUCCGCGCGCUUAACGCGCGGGCGUCCGGUGGAAACUGCAUGGCUUGGGACCGGAAGACCUGAGGGGUACGUCCGGGGUAGGAGUGAAAUCCCGUAAUCCUGGACGGACCACCGGUGGCGAAAGCGCCUCAGGAAGACGGAUCCGACGGUGAGGGACGAAAGCUCGGGUCACGAACCGGAUUAGAUACCCCUGUAGUCC